AUGUGUUUAAAAGUUCUAUUAAUUUCAAAGAGUUCUUUAUCCACACUUUUCUGCCUUUUAUUGAAUGAAGUUAUUUCUUUUUUUCUGUUACAGAUUCACAAAAAGUUGCAAAGAACAGCACAGAGUGGUCCCAUCUACCCUUUAUUCCAUUUUCCCCAGUGUUUAUAUCUUAGGAUCAGCAGUGGCAACAGAAACAAGAUGAGGUUCUCCAGGAAGACUUUGGGUGUCUGACUGAAUCACACAUAAACUGGACUGGAUCCAGAGCUGCAUUGGAAUUAAGGACUUCCAGUACAAUCUUGAAAAGCAGUGGUGAGAAGGGGCACCCACACCUUACUCCUCAUCUUAGGAGGAAAGCAUGUAAGUUUCUUGCCAUUAAAUACGAAGUUAGCUGCAGGUUUUAUUUGUAGAUAUUCUUGAUCAAAUUGAGGAAAUUUCCCCAUUCCCAGUUUACUGAGAAUUUUAAAAAAUCAUAAAUGGGUGUUAGAUUUUGUCAAAUGCUUUUUCUGUAUCUAUUGAUAAAAUAUAAUUUUUAAAAUCUAGCUAGUUUAUAUGGUAGAAUAUAUUAGUCAAUUUUCAAAUGCUGAACCAGCUUUUUAUAUCUGGUAUAAAUCCCACUUGGUUGUGUUUUGUAAUUCUUUUAUACAUUGCUGAAUUCAAUUUACUAAUAUUUUGUUGAGAAUUUUUACAUCUCUGUUUAUGAGACAUAUUGUUCUGUAGUUUUCCUUUCUUACAAUAUCUUUAUCUGGUUUUGGUAUUAGGGCAAGUCUGGCCUCAUAUAAGUUAAGAAGUGUUCAUUCUGCUUCUAUGUUUUGGAAGAGAUCAUAAAGAGUUGAUAUCAUUUCUUCAUUAAAUGUUUGGUAAAAUUCACAAUAAAACCAUUUGGGCCUGAUGCUAUGUUUUUUUGGAAGAUUACUGUUGAUUCAAUUUCUUUAAUGAAUAUAGUCCUCUUAAAAUUACCUAUUUUUAUUUUUAUUUUAUUUUUAUUCUCUUUCAGAGAAUUGGUCUAAGUUAUCAAUUUUAUGCAAAUCUAGUUUAUAAUAUUCUUUUAUUACCCUUUGAAUAUCCCUGGUAUCAGUGUUGAUGGUCUUUCAUUUUUGAUAUUAGUAAUUUGUGUGUUUUCUCUUUAUUUCCUUGUUCUCCUGAUCAAAGGUAUCAAUUUUAUUGAUCUUUUUAAAAAAUGACUUUUAGUUUCAAUGAUUUUCUCUAUUGUCUUCCCAUAUUUUAUUUAUUUAUUUAUUUAUUUAUAUUUUGGUUUCUGAAAACCUUAUUAUUUUGAAAUAACUUCAAGUUCAUAGAAAAAUUACAGGAAUAACACAACAAAUUCCUAUACAUUCUUUAUACAGAUUUGCUAGUUUUAGCUUUUUACUAUAUUUGCCUCAUUAUUGGCUCUCAAUACAAGUAUAUACAUUCAUCUAUAAGUUAUAUAUCUGUUAUAUGUACAUUACAUAUAUUUCCCCCUAAGCUAUUUGAGGAUUAUAGACAUACUCUAUUAGUAUCAGGAAAUUAACAUUGAUACAUUACCAAUUAAUUAAUAGAACACCUCAUUUGUUUUGCUGAUUAUUACAAUAAUGUCUUUUAUUGGCAAAAAAGCCAACCUAGGAGUGUAUGUUGUAUUAGUACUUAGGUUUUGUUUUUCUUUCCUUUGAUCUGAAAGUGCUUCUGUCUUUUAUCUGUAAAUGGCUUUACAUUUUCAAAGAGUACAGGACUGUUAACUUGUAAAAUGUUCUUUAUUUUGGAAUUGUCUGAUGUUUCCUCAUGACUAAAUUCAGAUUAGGUGUACUAAAAUGCCAUGUUUUCUUACUGUAUUAUUAUUUAUUUAAAUAAAUGUAUUUAAGAUUCAAGAGUACAUAUGCAUGUUUGUUACGGGGUAUAUUGACUGGUGAGCACUGGACUUUUAGUGUACUCAGUAUCCAAAUAGUAAACACUGUAUUUAAUGAGUCAUUUUAAAAUUCUUAUUCUCCUCUAAGCCUCCCUGCUUUUGUAGUCUCCAGUUCUGUUUCCAUCUUUAUGUCCAGUCCAUCAGUACCCAUUGUUUAGCUCCCACUUGUGAGAACAUGCAGUAUUUGAUUUCCUGCUUCUGAGUUAGUUCAAUUAGGAUAAUGGCUUCCAGCUCCGUUGACGUUGCUAUAAAGGAUGUGAGUGAAUUCUUUUUGUAUGGCUGCAUUUGUCUUCUCAUUUCUUAUUUUAUUUAUUUAUUCUGUGCUUUGUUUUAAAUUAUUUCUUCUGUUUACUCUAGGUUUACAUUGCUUCUUUUUCUUAGUUCCCUAAGGUGGCAGCUUGGACUAUUGAUUUUUAUAUCUUUGUUCUUUUCUAAUAUAUUCAUUCAAUGCUAUAAUUUCCCUAUAAGCACUGCUUUUGCUGUAUCCAUACAUUUUGAUAAGUUGUUUUUUCAUUUUCAUGUAGUUCAACUAUUUUUAAAUUUUUGUUGAG
rnacentral:lncRNA from 1 species